UAGUGAUUAAAAUAUUCCCCCAAAAUUUCAUUCCCUCUCUUGCCGCCUUCAAUCUUCUUUGCCUCCAAAAAAUAUUCCCCCAAAAUUAUUCAAUUCCCUCCCUUUGAGAGAGUUGCUUAAUACCCUCCUUUUGAGAGAGUUGCUUAAUCCGCCCAAAUCUAAUUUCUCCAAUUGAUGCACAGUAUAUUGAUCAUCAAGAAAUUUCGGCUUCAUCUACAGAUUUUUGUGAUAUUCUUCAAUUGAUGCCCUCUUUGCAAUAAGCUCUUCCGCGCCCACAUACGUGUGAGUUGCUCUCUUUUGUCGUAAUUUUUUGAAAUCAUAUUUUUUGUUUUUCUACUUUGGUCCCAAUUUUAGUGCUAAUUAGUCGAAUUUUGGUUUUCUUCGGAUUAUCGGGUUUCAUUAUUUGUUUCUGGACUCGAGUUUGCAGUUUGUGUUGUGGAUUCUAAGUUUUGUCGCAUGAAUUGAGGUCUAUUUCUCUGGGAAUUUUUGACGUUUUCAUGGGUUUUUAGUAAUUACAUAUAUGUUCGUACGUUUCUCAUUUUAGUAAUAACAAGACAAUGAUCUUUUUGCUGUUUUCUUCUGUUGUCUUGUUCUAUUCGGUUAAAUCUCAAGUUCUUUAUGAUUUUGGAUAGUUUUGUUUUGUUUUUUUUCCCCCGGUUAUGGAAGUUUUCAUUCUUUCAAUCUAUAUGAAUUCUGGGUUUUUGUUGAUCAAAGUUUUCUUGGAGAAGCUGAUCGAAUAAGUGCAAGUUGAUUAAUUGCCUUCUUUUUCAGACAACAAUGAACAUAAAACAUAAUCUUCCUGAAAAUUUUAGUGCCUUGCAGCAAAAAUAUUUAAGCUUUUUGCGUCUGUACAUGAGUAUGAACUGAGAGCUUAUAUUAUGCUUAGCCUUGCCAUAAUCUAUCGUUGAAUUUCUUGAUCAAGAUGAAUAGGAAAAUAUGCAAAUCAAUCCUCUUCUUCAUUGCCUAUUAAAGAGUUAGCCGUUUUGGUUAUUAUUUUACGAGGGUGAAUAAUUACACUAAGAGACAUAAUAUCAAACCUAGUACACGAGCCCCAUGGAUAUUUUGGUGACUUUUUCAAUGGUGUUCUGCCCCUGCCUGCCAACAGUAGGGUCUAACCUGAGCUGGUUUGUUUUUCUAAUGGAGUUUUUUUAUUAACAAGAUUCUCAUUGUAGUCAUUAAUUUGGCCACUUCCUGGUUCUUUGUGUUUCUUGUACACCUCUAUCCAGCAUUCUCUUGGCUAUCAAAUAAUGGAUAGACUUCUUGACUGAAUUUUCUGUCCUGAGAUUUGAGUUUGUUUAAUGGAAAACGUUGAUAUUUAUUCAGAACUGGUUGCAUCUACCUGAUUGCACAUUGACUGUGGAGGUUAUAAACCAGGCAAAAUUGUUUAGCUCUGAGUAGAAAACAUCUGCCAAGCUAAGGCAUAAAGCGGGGCAAGCAAGUUGGUUUGUGUUUGUAUAAAACAUUUAAAAUACAAAAAUAGAUAACUAAGUCUAAAUGGAGUUAUGUAGCAUAAGAAUCCAUUCUGCAAAAGCAAACAUGAUUCUCAAACAGAUCCAAAAAGAUGGGAAGACACAAUUUGAAACUUAAAGGAGAAAAUGGCUGACAAAGAAGUACAGAGUUAUGGAGAAUGGAAACUUCAUGGCCCUGCUCACCGAGAUGGAAAGGAGUGAAAGAUGGCAUCUGAAAUGAGGUUAAUGCUCAUGGUGUAUAGCCGUGCGUGUGAGGGAGAGACAUCAGCAACAAACUUACCAUUAUUUCCUUUAAAUUUUUUAACCUGUCGAGAUUCUUGUGAUUGUCUAUGAUAAAGCCCAAAAAUGCCUACCUCAAGCGGCUAUAACUUAUUGUUUAGGAAGGUUACUUCUAAAGCUAGACACGGCCAAGAUCAUGUACUUGCUAUCAUCUUGGUCUUAGGAAAAGAAGAAAAUAUAAGGCCCAGUCCAGUAGCCAAAUAUCUUGUGUUUAAUUAUUUGAGUAGAAUGAAAUUGGCUUUUGUGGGGUUAAUUUCAAAAUGGUCAGUGAAGUGAUUUAUGUUUCUAGUUUCUGUUUCAUUAUGAACAUUAACUAGAUGUGCAAAGUUUAGUUUGAGCUUCCAUCAAUUCAUUAUAAACAUUACUCAUUUCAUUUUGUGAUUUUAUUUAUUUUUACUUUGUGGUUUGUUUUCUAGAAUUGGAUAGUUUGUUCUAAUUAUGGUUUCUUUUUAUUUUAUGAUUUUUUUAAUUAUGUGAAUUCCAGACGAACUUCGAGCUAGAUUUAAAAGACUCGAGAUUGACAAAUUAUAUAAAUAGACUAUAUAAUGGGAGGUAUAGAGAGUUUAAGGUUGAGUUGAGUGCAUACUAAAAGUUGCAAAAGACACAUGAGAAUGCAUUAGCCAAUCCCAUUUGGAGAUGCUCGAUAGACGUGUAAAUCAGUGGGUGGACCUAUGAAAUCACUUGAACUCCAAUAAGUUCAAGGUAUUUAUUGUAUAAUUCUUUACUAGUUCACAACUUUUACUUCUAAUUUUGUUGUGUAAUAUCUAUAUGUUUUUCUUUGCAGAAAGCAUCAUCAGCAAACAUAGUGAAUCGAUCAAAGAAGUACAAUCAUCGUACUGGUUCACGUUCUUUAGAUGUAACUAUAUUUGGUGAAUGUCAUUUAUUCGCUUCAUGUGUAGAAGUAACUUUAGUAGACGAAUUAUUUUGUCGGAGGAAAACUUACGCGACGAAUUGUAUUUGUCUCCAAAGGAUUCGUAAGAAAAAAUCUUAGCCCACAAAUUUCAAAAAUUUGUUGUCUCAUACCUAUCUCCUCGAUGUUUGUCCCAUAAACGUGCCUACAAACUUUUUUCGUCUACAAAGGUAUUUCUCCACAAAUAAGAGCAUUUCCCCACCAAUAAAUUUU
rnacentral:lncRNA from 1 species